rnacentral:rRNA from 1 species
CCUACGGGUGGCUGCAGUGGGGAAUAUUGGACAAUGGGGGCAACCCUGAUCCAGCCAUGCCGCGUGUGUGGAGAAGGCCCUCGGGUUGUAAAGCACUUUCAGUGAGGAAGAACGCCUGGUGGUUAAUACCCAUCAGGAAAGACAUCACUCACAGAAGAAGCACCGGCUAACUCCGUGCCAGCAGCCGCGGUAAUACGGAGGGUGCGAGCGUUAAUCGGAAUUACUGGGCGUAAAGCGCGCGUAGGUGGCUUGAUAAGCCGGUUGUGAAAGCCCCGGGCUCAACCUGGGAACGGCAUCCGGAACUGUCAAGCUAGAGUGCAGGAGAGGAAGGUAGAAUUCCCGGUGUAGCGGUGAAAUGCGUAGAGAUCGGGAGGAAUACCAGUGGCGAAGGCGGCCUUCUGGACUGACACUGACACUGAGGUGCGAAAGCGUGGGUAGCAAACAGGAUUAGAUACCCUUGUAGUC